AGGAUAAAGGUCACAAGGAGGGCCUGGUGGCCCCUGACAAAAACAGGGCCUCUGAAGGUGGCAGCUGAAAAGAAUCUUGUUUUCACGACGUGCGCAGUCCGGAGGUGCAAAAGCCUAGGUGUGCCGCACCUGCCAGGCUGCUGGACUUGGAAGAGAAUUUCUCCCAGUAGAGAUUUCCGUGAACCAGGUCACUUCACUUCCUCCUUCCUGUAACCUCUGGCAGCCAGUCUCCUAUUCUCCGUUUCUCUGAAAUCAGCCUUCGAUUGGGGAAAGGAAAAGGAAGUCACAGUGGCCCCAGGACUCUUGGAUUUGCUGUUUUCUCAAGAGGUAAUAUUCCUCCUUCAGAGGGGUACAUGGCUGGCCUCUCACUGCUUUCAGACUGGGAUGUUUGGAGCUGUGGCCGCUAUUUUGUUACCAUGAGGAAAACAUUAUGACAUACCAAACAUGAGAGCAGAAAGAUGAAAAAAGACUGGAGCCUUAGUGACAUCACCUGGCAGCUGAACCAGAGGUCCCUGAUGGAGGCCAGAGAAGACUUCACAGUGUGUGUCUUUCCGAGAUUAUCUGCAGAAUAAUCAAACUGCAUUACCUAGAUUAACACCUUACACAUUAUUUAUAAAAGAGCAUUUGUCUCUUUAGCUUUCUUUUUCUUUCUCUUUCUUUCUUUCUCUUCUUUCUUUCUUUCUCUUCUUUCUUUCUUUCUCUUCUUUCUUUCUUUCUCUUCUUUCUUUCUUUCUUUCUUUCUUUCUUUCUUUGGUUGUGCCUGUUGCAUGUGGAAGUUUCUGGGCCAGGGAUCGAUCCCACACCACAGCAGUGACCCAAGCUGCUGUGCUGACAACACUGGAUCCUUAGCUCACUGUGCCACAAGAGAAUUCCUCUUCAGCUUUUCAUAGUCUAAUGUGCCAGAGUCCAGAAGGAUGUAGAGGAAAAAAAGAGGAAUCCAUCUUGAGAAUAGAUUGAUUUCAAACAUUUUCUAAACCCUUUAUAUAAACUACUAAACUUUGGACUUAGAAAUCAAGAAAAAUCACUUCACUUCACAUACUCUUUUUCCUGCCAAUUUUUGGAACUUUCUUUUUCUUUUUAAAAAUUUUUAUUUUGCAUUUAUUUAGUUUUCAUUUUUAAAAAUUAUAGUUGAUUUACAGCAUUGUGCCAAUUUCUGCUGUACAGCAAAUUGACUCAGUCAUACAUAUACAUACAUUUUUUGAAACUUUCUUGUUCUGAUCAGGUCUUAGGUAUUAAGGAAAUUCUUUUACUUAUAGUAUUUCUGUACUUGACCAUUACAUUAGAAAUAUUUCAACUGUGUAUAAAACUGUUGUUUUUAAAGACAUACAGAGAUGUUUCAAUUUAGAAAUAGGUUCCAUUUCCUUUUGAUUCCUUUUGAUCAUAAAUUUUGAUUUGUAUUUCUACAUAGGAAGUGAUAUCCUCCCUGAGAUUCUCUAAUAAGUAUGAAGUUUAUACAUAUACACCUUUAAAAUCAUGAAUUUCACUGGUUUGAGUUAACAAAUUAAUCCAUUAACAGGUAGUUAAUUAAUGAAAGAACUAGAGAGCAUACUUAAAAUGAAUAUUCCAUUUAGCACCACUUGGUGUUUUUCAAACUAUGUUUUAUUACCAUUAAAGUACAAUAAACAGUCUAAGC
rnacentral:lncRNA from 1 species